UGUAAGGGGUAAAACCUUUUGCUUGGUUC
rnacentral:piRNA from 1 species